CAGUUUGUAGCCAGUGACUCAGUCGUCAUUUAACUGCUUUUAUCUUAUUUCUAUUGUCCAUAGUCUGAGCAUGAAAGGAUUGGCUAGCUACGUAUCUAGCAAAGACACCAUACCAUUUAUUCCUAACACAUCGUGGCAGUACCAGUGGGUUUUGUAUCUUUCUGAUGGACAAGCCAACUGUAAACAAGUAAAUUAAGAAUUUAAAUAAUCCCUCCUACUUAGCCCGGUAUUCUUUCUUGUCCCAUUUGCGACGGACAUACUGACGGAACUUAGUCUGGUGAGGCGCACAGGUUGCUG